rnacentral:rRNA from 1 species
AACGUAGGUGGCGAGCGUUAUCCGGAUUUACUGGGCGUAAAGGGUGUGUAGGCGGAAGUCCAAGUGGUGUAUGAAAGCUCCCGGCUUAACCGGGAAGGGUUAUGCCAGACUGGACAUCUAGAGUGUGGGAGAGGGACGUGGAAUUCCGGGUGUAGUGGUAAAAUGCGUAGAGAUCCGGAGGAACACCAGAGGCGAAGGCGGCGUCCUGGCCCACAACUGACGCUCAUCCACGACAGCAUGGGGAGCGAACGGG